ACGAUCAUACUAGCACUAAUGCAAUGGAUCCCAUCAGAACUCUGCAGUUAAGCAUACUUGGGUGAGAGUAGUACGAGGAUGGGUGACCCACUGAAAAGUCCUCGUGUUACACCA